rnacentral:rRNA from 1 species
GCAGUCGAACGAUGAAGCCCAGCUUGCUGGGUGGAUUAGUGGCGAACGGGUGAGUAACACGUGAGCAACCUGCCCCUCACUCUGGGAUAAGCGCUGGAAACGGCGUCUAAUACUGGAUACGAGUCGCAACCGCAUGGUUAGUGACUGGAAAGAUUUUUUGGUGGGGGAUGGGCUCGCGGCCUAUCAGCUUGUUGGUGAGGUAAUGGCUCACCAAGGCGUCGACGGGUAGCCGGCCUGAGAGGGUGACCGGCCACACUGGGACUGAGACACGGCCCAGACUCCUACGGGAGGCAGCAGUGGGGAAUAUUGCACAAUGGGCGGAAGCCUGAUGCAGCAACGCCGCGUGAGGGAUGACGGCCUUCGGGUUGUAAACCUCUUUUAGCAGGGAAGAAGCGAAAGUGACGGUACCUGCAGAAAAAGCACCGGCUAACUACGUGCCAGCAGCCGCGGUAAUACGUAGGGUGCAAGCGUUAUCCGGAAUUAUUGGGCGUAAAGAGCUCGUAGGCGGUUUGUCGCGUCUGCUGUGAAAUCCCGAGGCUCAACCUCGGGCCUGCAGUGGGUACGGGCAGACUAGAGUGCGGUAGGGGAGAUUGGAAUUCCUGGUGUAGCGGUGGAAUGCGCAGAUAUCAGGAGGAACACCGAUGGCGAAGGCAGAUCUCUGGGCCGUAACUGACGCUGAGGAGCGAAAGGGUGGGGAGCAAACAGGCUUAGAUACCCUGGUAGUCCACCCCGUAAACGUUGGGAACUAGUUGUGGGGUCCUUUCCACGGAUUCCGUGACGCAGCUAACGCAUUAAGUUCCCCGCCUGGGGAGUACGGCCGCAAGGCUAAAACUCAAAGGAAUUGACGGGGACCCGCACAAGCGGCGGAGCAUGCGGAUUAUUCGAUGCAACGCGAAGACCUUACCAGG